ensembl:lncRNA
AAAAUGCUGUGUCCCAUCCGGCUCGAAGGACCAAGAAAUGUCAGGAGUUUUCCUGUUAUGCAACUCAGUAUAUUGUCUGCUGCAACAACACUGGCCACAUGCCUGAUGUAACUUUCCACAUCCAUAGACAGCAGCUGACUCCUGCUUGGCCUCCAGCUUGCUUAAGUGUCUCAGUGGUGAACAGGGGUCAGCACGGCACUCUGACAGGUCUGCAGCUAUGCAGCAGCAUUCAGCCGAAGGAGCUGCUGAUCGUCUUCUGCCGCUGCUCCAUUGAAAGUGUGCUGACAUACUGCAUCUGUGUGUGGUUCUCCAGCUGCACCACGGCACACAAAAAGGUACUUCAGAGGGUCAUUAAUAUGGCCCAAAAAGUCAUUGGACAUCCUCUUCCCUCCCUGAAGGACAUAUACAGCACGCGCUCUCUCAAAAGGGCACGCAGCAUCCUACGGGACUGCACACACCCAGGACACCAGGUGUUUAAGGUUCAGGCUGCUGAGGUCCCGGACAAAUAGACUAAAGGACAGCUUUUACAACAGGGCAAUAGCCUUAAUCGAUGCAAACAGCUGACCUGAUUGGCUACCUUCCUGGACUUUUUUGGGGGGGUAACAACAAUAACAAUAAUAAUAUUUAUAUUUAUAACAAGGUGCAAUAAUAACAGUGUACACUAC